UACAGAGGCCUCGAGCGUUAGGCGGAAUCACUGGGCUUAAAGCGUGUGUAGGCGGAGUUCUAAGUACCUUGUGAAAUCCCACCGCUCACCGGUGGAACUGCUGGGUAUACUGGAUCUCUUGAGCCACUUAGGGGCUACCGGAACAAAUGGUGGAGCGGUGAAAUGCGUAGAUAUCAUUUGGAACGCCAAUGGUGAAAACAGGUAGCUGGGAGUGUGCUGACGCUGAGACACGAAAGCCAGGGGAGCGAACGGG
rnacentral:rRNA from 1 species